rnacentral:lncRNA from 1 species
AUUGCGAGUAUUUUACAUAUGUUGGUAUUUGUAUUAUGUGCUAAUGGUUUGAUGAUAUGUCCCUUAGUCUAGCUUUUUAUAAAAUUUAUUAAUUGAUGAGUUAAUCAUGUAGACUAUUAGUAAAUUAAGAAAAAUUAAAAAUUCGAUAUAAUUAUAUGAUAGGGUAUGGGCGGCAUUUAGAUUGGUUGGUCACACAAGAAAUAUGGUAUAUGUGCUAGGUCAAUCUUGGGCUAAGAUGUAGUAUUAUAUUUAGCAUACCACGGGCUAGAGCGUGACUAUAGCUAGUCCAACGU